UUUGCUCAUUCGCUCAGUCACUGAUGGCAACCUCGCGCUCAUCGGCGGCUUCCUUUCUUCUUCUUCCCUUUUGGUUCGUUGGAGGAGCCGUCCUCUCUCCCUCGCAUGUGUUUUUUUUUUCUCGAGGUCUCCAGAGAGAGGAGGAACCUGAGAGAUGUGUGUGUCUGCACGGAUGAUGAUGAAGAGUAGGAGGAGAGAAGUAGCGAUCCUCUCUCUUGCCCCGGCGACCUGUAGGCUAGCGGCGUCGUUGGUCCCUUGGCUGGCGUUCCUGCGCCGCGCGCAGCGAGGCCUGAGGGGGGGGAGGGAGUCUGCGCAGUGGGCGAAGAAGAUAGUCGGUGGUGGUGUUGGUGGGGCGGCUAAAUUUGGCCCCAGUUUGGAGUUUUCGGCGGUGGCCGUUUCGUUGUGGAGGAGAGAGGUGGGAGGGAACGGAAGCAGAAGGUGGAGGGGGGCUGGGGGGUGGUUCCGAGUCCUUGCGUCACUCGUCCCCGGCCCCCCCCUUUCCCCCUUCCUCAGGGUCCUUCUUCCUUCUUGGCUCUUGGCACAACCCCCCCCCCCCCCCCCUCUUCUCCCCCCGCCAGCGUUCUCGUCUUGUCCCUACAUGUCGGUCCAGAUGCGCUCAGGUGCCUGGAUGACUGCGCCGUUUGAGCGCGUACUGGCAAGGCGAGACGUCCGUGCCUUUACUGCGCUUCGCUGUCGAAGAUUGUGCCGUCCGUGACCGCUGCUGUGAUGUGUUGGGAACCCCGCCGGCGGUGACCGAACGUCCGUUGUUGCCGGAUGUGAUCGUGCAGCCGCACUACGCAGUGCGCAAAAUAAGAGGCUUUUGCAACCAGAGGUGCCGUUGAAGCUCCGCGUCCUGCGUUCUACAAACUGAGGGUGGUGCCACUACCAGACACGCGGCCGGCAGGCCGGACAAACAGCGGCAGGGCAGCGGCUACUUCCAACAACUAUUCCACGCUCCCAAUGGGAACCUGUUCAGCG
rnacentral:misc_RNA from 1 species